GGGGGCGAAGAGCCGGAGUUUGCUCGGGGGCGGAGGCCGCGGGCCGCCCUCGUCUGCCCCUGGGCCGUUUUUAUGCCCCGGUAUGCCCCUUCACGCCGCUCCCUGCCGAGGCUGGAAGCGGCAGCGGUACACAGAUGCAUGUUCUGCCCCUAAGAGAUGAUGAAGAUGGAAGUUCGUGGCUUGCUCCUUGCUUCUCAGAUAUGGACAGGUGACAACCUACAAGCCACGUGAGCGAUCCUGGUGUCCUGCAGCCACCUCGCCACUCUCUACCAAUAGUCCAAGUGUGGGGGACACAGGAGUGUCUUGGUGAUGGGAUGACAGCCUUGCUGCAUGUCAGGCUCCUGAAGCCGGUGAAGGAGAAACAGCAGUCUGAGGUGAAACAACAUUCAACAAAACCUCAUCAAAUGCUUUCAGAGGUCUCUGAAAAAAUUACUGUUGUGCUUAAAAAUUGAAUAUUAUCUACUAAACUUUAUUUUCGUUUGAAACCUGACUGUCCCAUCCUCCCCGUUUUCAUCUAAGAAUGAAAAUGACACGUUACAUUAAAGGCUUAAGUAGCAGUCGCAGGAGAUUAAAUGCAGUUAAGCAUAACGAAGCGUGAGGAUGACAAGAAAAAUGAAGCAGAGGUGCCUUAUCUCCCAAUUCAUCGCAGUACAAAUUUUAUAUUCCAGACACAAAUGCCACUUUGGGAUUGAAAUCGUACUACGUGAAUCCGUGUGAGUGAAGCAGCUGAGGCACAGGGAGAUAGCCUUGCCAGGUACCUGUCCAGGUGACCUGCAGAUGGAAGAACAAAAUGCAGAUUUCUGUGAUGUAGUCCAGUGCUCAAGCACAUCUUUUUGCAUAAAUGAUGGUAGGUCAAACUGUUGCAAGCAUUGUGGAAAUGAUGCAGCCCAAAUUGCUGAGGAGCUUACACUAGUGAAAUAGACAGGUAACCUGAGAGACAAUAAUAUAGCUCCUGAGAAGAAUAUUGUCCUCAGGAAGUUAGAUGGAGGUCCGAUCAGUUGGCCAAAGAUCUGCAUUAAAAAUAGUGUGUUUUUACUAAAACAGGCACUCUACAUUUUUGUAUAUGUUUGUCAUUAAGUUAGAUGGUACUCUAUUCGAGGAAGGACACUUUCUAUGUAGGCCUUCAAAGCCAUUCCCAUCUCAGUGCUAGGAAAUGUGCAGCUGAAUUGUAAAUUUGCAUAGAGGUGAAGGAUGAAGAUGCUAAAAAAUUGUUCCUCCUCUCCCAUCAUCUUAAAUGAUGAGCAAAAUGUGAGGCUUCUUAUGAACUCACCAAGCCCACUGUAUCUACUGUACCCACGGCCAACAGCAUUCAUGGGAUUUGUGUGACUCACCAUUGAGCGCUAUCCUUCGUGAAGGCACUACACUGAAUAGCUAAAUACAGUCACUAAUUUUAUUUGAUUAAAUGUACGUAUUCCACUUCCUCUAUAUGCUCUUAUGAAGUCAUUACCCAUUAUGACAGCUUGUUAAAGCAUAAAAUGGCGUUGUUCUUUCCCUUCCUAGAAAGGGAUGGAGGCACGCUGUUACAAAGCCUCCCAUUUCUAAGACUUGUGAAGAUGUACCACAGAACAUUUGGUGUUGCAUAUUGUUCAUAUUGAAAACUCUGACGAGUGAGCAAGCUCUUUACACACUGCAUUUUUCCUCUUUUUUCUUCUUAUUGCCAGUUUGCAGUGGCAACAUGCUAAUGGUGUGAAUUAGUCGUUAGUUCAUGACUCUGAGGAAAAGGACCACAUGAAAAUUGUAAGUUAGAAUGUAAGUAAGUGGACACCAUUCAGACUGAAAUACUGCAUAGCCUGGCAGUGUGUUGCUAAUUUCUGGUUUAUUUCCAAACAAAUCAUGUUAAAAUACGAGUCAAAACUAUCUGGCAGGGAUUUAAAGUACAAUGUGGCAACAACCCCAAAACCUAUUACUUUACAUUCAGGGUUUCUCUGUGUACUCUAUUAGACUUCUUUAAUUCAUCCCUAAUUAUAAAUUGCUAUCUGUAAGUUCCCAAAAAAUGGUUUAAUACUCCCAGGCCUAAUGCUAUGAUUUAGGGCAGAAUACAUACCAUAAUACCGUAUUUUCAGUGCAAAAUUAAACCUUACCUCCAGCAAACCACCAAUGUCUUCCAGUAUUUUUCAGAUUUACUGUAUUUCAAUAUGCAGAAUCCUUAGCUUGUAUGCUUAAUCUCUUUUCUCAGUCUAUUAGCAGGACUGAGUCUCUUCAUUCUCAGUGCAGAAGUGCAGUACAACAGAAGAACAAAUACAUUCUGCAGGUGGAGAGAAGAGCCGUGGGUUCAUGGUAAGGACAGCAUCCAUCUGCCCCAGGUAAAUCUAAGCCCAUCUUCCCAGCUUGUAGGUGCCUUUGUUUACCUUUUGCUCCAUAACAAACCCAGAAACUCCCUGAUAAAAUUCCCUUCGGAUCAUGACCGUAGAGAAAUCCAUUCUGCAUUCUUAAAGCUUUUGUGGCAGAUAGCUUGUAAGCUGUAAGCAUAAAAAUCACGUACAAAUAAAUAAAUGUUGAGAGAGAAAUUAUGUGACAUAAAGUGUAUGUGAAAAUUAAUGUUGAAAAUGCUCUGAAUACGGGGAAGAAAUGAAAGGAUAGUUCCACGGCAGCAGCUGUAUCUGUUUUACCUUGAGAUUGUUAUCUCUGUAACUGAUUACAUCUCAAAAUCUUAAAACCAUUGACAGUUGUUAAGGGGAAACAAACUUGUGCAUUUGGCCAUGGCAGGUCUUUCCUGCUGUAAGCUUCACAGGAGUUUCUACCUCCACACUGAUCUUUUCUUACAGCACUCUUAGGUGAUGUGUCUUCUCUUGUGCUUGUAAUCAUCUUUCCCUUCUAUUAUAUAUAAUAGGUAAUGUAUAUGUAUAUGCAAUAUAUAAAAUGCUCAAAAAGCUCACGAUUUAAGAGUAAUUAAGAUAUUACUACCUCAGAAACACAAAAUGUCACUCUUAUGUGCUCAUACUUGUUCUGCUGAGCCAGCCCAUCUCAGUGACAGAGGGAAGUGCAGAUAAUACAGACUGGCAUCAAGCAGUAGCUAUUCCUGUAAGCAGACAGAGCAGAAGUUAUCGCUGCAUUUCUUGACACAGAAACACAUGGAUGGCUCUGUACUGUGUGAAAAAAACACUGUAUUGCUGUGUGCUUAUGACAAAAAAAUAAGAAUCCUUUGUCAAUAGGAUACCAUUAUUUUUGGAUAAACAAAACCAAAAUCAAAAAAGAGCAAAUAAGCGGAUAUAUGCGAUGCAUGACACACAGUCCCAUAUGAUCAACAUCAGUUAUUUUGGCAAUCUACUUUCAGAAAUGGGAGUUUUCACAAGAGUGAAAAUUGCUUCUACAUCACUUGGAAGUGGAGCUUACUGCUGUCAGGUUGCCAGAACUCUUAAACGAGUGCUCAAGCAUCACUCCCUCUUUCGGUGAUUUCAUAUAUUUAUACUUACUGUCACAACUAGGGGAGGAUCAGCAAGGAUUUGUUCCUUGUUCAGAAGAUCACGGAGUCUGCUACCUGCCAGCACGCUCCGCUUCCAGCAGCGGAAGCUCUUACUCAUCACCAAUCUUGUCCCUGACAUACUUCAGCAUCCAACAGUUCUUUCACACCUUCCGGGCUCCUAUAUUUAGGAAUUUCUUCUUCUCCCCGGUUGGCUCCAAGCCAGAAACAUAUCCCCUUACGUGGAAGAUUCUUAACUUUGCUCACGCUGCUUUUUUGACAUUUGCUUUCUUGGUAGGUUCUGCUUCUGUAGACUGUUGAGUACUAAGUGUAUGAUGAGAGUCUACAUGGUUUUCUACAUUAUAAAUCACAGAUAUGCUCAAGUUUGACAGGAUUCUUGAAUACUGGCUUGCAGCAUCCCAGAUCUGUAGUGCCAGAGAGAGAUGUGGACAGACCUUUGAUCUCGAGGGCCAGAAUUUGGUCACAUUCACAAACACGUUUGGAAGCUUGCAAAUGUGGCCAAGAGAGGGAAUAGGGGAUGUCACUGAUGAGCUGUGCAGAAAUGUCACCUCCUGGAGAACCAUCUAAUAGAUGGACUACAUCCGAGUUCUGCUAAUGCUCUCCAUCAAGCAGACACAUUUAGCACUGCUGCAGUCACAGCUGGAAUACACAGCACAGCAGCAUAUGUUGAAAUCCAGGACGCCCAGUUCAACAGGGAAGAGUGAGUAAUAUAAAUGGCAUUAACUGAAAUUAAUUUCAGGAUGUUCUUCGAUGGAAAGCAUGCUCAUAUCUCAAAAUCAGUCCAUUCAGCAGGCAAAUAAACGGUUUCAACAUUUUUCAGGGAAAUCUCAGUAGCAUUCCUUGGGCUUGUAGGUCAUGCUUAGUACAGUCAAGCAGGCUUAAAUGCAACGUUAAUUACAGUUUUUUUUCCUUUUACAUAUUUUGAAUGGAACAUGACAACAAACGUACACAUUCUUGUGUUUCUGAUGCAUUCUUUUCUUGCAGAAGCCCCAGUUGGUAGUAAAGCAGUUCGCAGCACAGACCUUUCUGUGGAGAAGCUCAUGCAGCCGGCCGGCCAGCAAGCAGUUCUCACACUGCAGCAUCAUGCUUAGCUGUGUCAAGCAACAUAUAAAUCAUGAAGACAAAGUGCUGUUGAGCAACAAGGCAGCUUUUCCCAGCCAGGUCAGUAAGAAGAAACCACAGUUAUCAAAUCAGUGUCUUGGCAUUGAAGCUGCACAGCACCUCAGUGGAGCAGGUUAGUGGGAUCGGGUCCCUUCCUCCAGAGGAAGGUUUGUGCUGCUGUUUGGCCUCACCCACCUUCAGGCAGCUGAGUUUCUGUUGACUCGAAAGGAAAGCAAAAAGUCUGAAAUGCUGCUAAAAGGCCUCGUAUUGUCUGACAUCCUGUGACAAGAAAAAAAUAAACAACUUUGACCACAA